AAUGAACGCUGGCGGCAUGCCUAACACAUGCAAGUCGAACGAAGGCUUCGGCCUUAGUGGCGCACGGGUGCGUAACGCGUGGGAAUCUGCCCUUGGGUUCGGAAUAACUCAGAGAAAUUUGAGCUAAUACCGGAUGAUGUCGCAAGACCAAAGAUUUAUCGCCCAAGGAUGAGCCCGCGUAGGAUUAGCUAGUUGGUGGGGUAAAGGCCCACCAAGGCGACGAUCCUUAGCUGGUCUGAGAGGAUGAUCAGCCACACUGGGACUGAGACACGGCCCAGACUCCUACGGGAGGCAGCAGUGGGGAAUAUUGGACAAUGGGCGAAAGCCUGAUCCAGCAAUGCCGCGUGAGUGAUGAAGGCCUUAGGGUUGUAAAGCUCUUUUACCCGGGAUGAUAAUGACAGUACCCGG
rnacentral:rRNA from 1 species